ensembl:misc_RNA Y_RNA Y RNA
GGCACACUAAAAUGAAAAAAACAAUUGUGUUUACAAGUAAUUGAUCACAACUAGUUACAGAUUGCUUUGUUCCUUCUCCACUCUCAUUGCUUCACUUGACGAGCCUAAA